CGGGGUGGAGUAAUGUCUGGGAAACGGCCUGAUGGAAGGGGAUAACUACUGGAAACGGUAGCUAAUACCGCAUAACGUCUUCGGACCAAAGUGGGGGACCUUCGGGCCUCACGCCAUCGGAUGUGCCCAGAUGGGAUUAGCUAGUAGGUGGGGUAAUGGCUCACCUAGGCGACGAUCCCUAGCUGGUCUGAGAGGAUGACCAGCCACACUGGAACUGAGACACGGUCCAG
rnacentral:rRNA from 1 species